GGCCCGGCCCAGCCCAUUUCGGUCGGCAGCCAAAACGCCGUCAUAUUUAUGGAGAGAUUGCGAUACCUUGCAACUAACCAAUAUACGAUCCCUUCUGCAGAACGUUCUAGACAUCAAGACCACUCUGACCGACAAGCAACAUCAACAAAAAAUUUUCCCCCAUUGUAGCAAUUUUCUGUACGUUGUUCUCUCGUGAUCAUACUCUCAACAUUAUUGUUUUAGGUUUCGCAAACUUUAAAAUGGCGACUGAAACGAAGGCGGCGGCUGAAGAUGUGAAGAUCGACCUUUUUGAAGACGACGAUGAGUUCGAAGAGUUUGAAAAUAACGAAGGUAAAACUUAUAAGUGUUUUUUUUGGAGCUUAGUUUCAUGCUAGCUGUGUUUGUGAUACUCUGCUAAAGAACAUCUAUUUCUAUUUCUAGUCCUUUUAGUUAAGUUUAUUCCUUUCUCUGGGAUGCUUUUAGCCUCUCAUGCAAUUACAUGAAUUUAUUAUGAACGGUCUGGCAGAUU